UUUUAUGGAGAGUUUGAUCCUGGCUCAGAGUGAACGCUGGCGGCGUGCCUAAUACAUGCAAGUCGAACGAUGAAGCUUCUAGCUUGCUAGAAUGCUGAUUAGUGGCGCACGGGUGAGUAACGCAUAGGUCAUGUGCCUCUUAGUUUGGGAUAGCCAUUGGAAACGAUGAUUAAUACCAGAUACUCCCUACGGGGGAAAGAUUUAUCGCUAAGAGAUCAGCCUAUGUCCUAUCAGCUUGUUGGUAAGGUAAUGGCUUACCAAGGCUAUGACGGGUAUCCGGCCUGAGAGGGUGAACGGACACACUGGAACUGAGACACGGUCCAGACUCCUACGGGAGGCAGCAGUAGGGAAUAUUGCUCAAUGGGGGAAACCCUGAAGCAGCAACGCCGCGUGGAGGAUGAAGGUUUUAGGAUUGUAAACUCCUUUUGUUAGAGAAGAUAAUGACGGUAUCUAACGAAUAAGCACCGGCUAACUCCGUGCCAGCAGCCGCGGUAAUACGGAGGGUGCAAGCGUUACUCGGAAUCACUGGGCGUAAAGAGCGCGUAGGCGGGAUAGUCAGUCAGGUGUGAAAUCCUAUGGCUUAACCAUAGAACUGCAUUUGAAACUACUAUUCUAGAGUGUGGGAGAGGUAGGUGGAAUUCUUGGUGUAGGGGUAAAAUCCGUAGAGAUCAAGAGGAAUACUCAUUGCGAAGGCGACCUGCUGGAACAUUACUGACGCUGAUUGCGCGAAAGCGUGGGGAGCAAACAGGAUUAGAUACCCUGGUAGUCCACGCCCUAAACGAUGGAUGCUAGUUGUUGGAGGGCUUAGUCUCUCCAGUAAUGCAGCUAACGCAUUAAGCAUCCCGCCUGGGGAGUACGGUCGCAAGAUUAAAACUCAAAGGAAUAGACGGGGACCCGCACAAGCGGUGGAGCAUGUGGUUUAAUUCGAAGAUACACGAAGAACCUUACCUAGGCUUGACAUUGAGAGAAUCCGCUAGAAAUAGUGGAGUGUCUAGCUUGCUAGACCUUGAAAACAGGUGCUGCACGGCUGUCGUCAGCUCGUGUCGUGAGAUGUUGGGUUAAGUCCCGCAACGAGCGCAACCCCCUUUCUUAGUUGCUAACAGGUCAUGCUGAGAACUCUAAGGAUACUGCCUCCGUAAGGAGGAGGAAGGUGGGGACGACGUCAAGUCAUCAUGGCCCUUACGCCUAGGGCUACACACGUGCUACAAUGGGGUGCACAAAGAGAAGCAAUACUGUGAAGUGGAGCCAAUCUUCAAAACGCCUCUCAGUUCGGAUUGUAGGCUGCAACUCGCCUGCAUGAAGCUGGAAUCGCUAGUAAUCGCAAAUCAGCCAUGUUGCGGUGAAUACGUUCCCGGGUCUUGUACUCACCGCCCGUCACACCAUGGGAGUUGUGUUUGCCUUAAGUCAGGAUGCUAAAUUAGCUACUGCCCACGGCACACACAGCGACUGGGGUGAAGUCGUAACAAGGUAACCGUAGGUGAACCUGCGGUUGGAUCACCUCCUUUCUAGA
rnacentral:rRNA from 1 species